UCCGAAGGUGGCAAGCGUUGUUCGGAUUUACUGGCCGUACAGGGAGCGUAGGCGGUUGGGUAAGCCCUCCGUGAAAUCUCCGGGCCCAACCCGGAAAGUGCGGAGGGGACUGCUCGGCUAGAGGAUGGGAGAGGAGCGCGGAAUUCCCGGUGUAGCGGUGAAAUGCGUAGAGAUCGGGAGGAGGGCCGGUGGCGAAGGCGGCGCUCUGGAACAUUUCUGACGCUGAGGCUCGAAAGCGUGGGGAGCAAACAGG
rnacentral:rRNA from 1 species